rnacentral:rRNA from 1 species
CCUACGGGUGGCAGCAGUGAGGAAUAUUGGUCAAUGGCCGGAAGGCUGAACCAGCCAUGCCGCGUGAAGGGCAGGGACCUAGGGGCGUUAAACUUCUUUUGUGCGGGAGCAAGAAUGGGCACGUGGGGCCAGACGAGAGUACCGUACGAAGAAGCAGCGGCGAACUCCGUGCCAGCAGCCGCGGUAAUACGGGGGAUGCAAGCGGUAUCCGGAUUUCUUGGGGUGAAAGGGUGCGUAGGCGGUGAAGUAAGUCAGCGGGGAAAUGCCCCCGCUCAACGGGGGGAAGUGCCAUUGAUACUGCCUUGCUGGACUGCGGCUGCCGUGGUCGGAAUGUGUGGUGUAGCGGUGA